ensembl:lncRNA
GUCCGGGCUUUGCUCACAGAAGAGCUUCUAGAGGAGACCAGACGAGAGAAAGAAGAGAGUCUGUGCCGAUUUCAGGAUUCAGUUUGUGAACGUGUGUCGCAGCAGGCCCGUCUGCGCAAACAACAGCAGCUACUGAAAUCAUAUGAGACAGUUGAAUGUGACAGCAAAGUAUCACAACAAACCAUCAAUUUAUUCCCUUCCUGGACACAUGGGGAGCGAGCAAUCUGCAGUCCCAGCUCCCGCUGUGUCAGCGCUCUGGGGACGGAUCACAUCACCAUACACAUAAUGUACGGGAAUUUACAGAGCCUUAUACAUCUAUGUGGAUCAUAUUGCUUGUGUGAUUCGGCAGAAUAGAGGUGUAAGGGUGAGUUUCUUUACACUUGUCCAGGUCAGUAAAGUCAGGAAGCAGGUGAGACACAGACUAGCUGCUCGUCAGACAGUGCAAGAGGGUGAUGAACUUUCACAGCUGCCUGGUGGGAGAUGGAAAAGAUCCACAGCUAGAGAAAAUCCUGAAUCACACACUUGGAAAGAUCAGAAGGAUUAUACUGAAAGUACAAAUGAUGGAGGAGAGGAGAACGAGCAGGAUGUUGAAGUGGAAGAUGAGAUGCUGUUGGGGCAGCAUGAUCAACCUCUUCAUUUGCAUCGCCACCGAAGCAAGACUGUAACUUUUCAGAAUGAUACAGUAUAUGAGCCAGAUCCCACUGUUUCCUUCACAACUGACUACAGAGCUUCCCAAGUGCUUUGGCCUCAUGAGAAUCAGGAGGAGCUGAAGAGAGACAGUCUCAGUUCCUCAUGUAUCGACGCCACUUCAUGGACACUGAGCGAGAGCAAAGGAGCACCAAAGGCACAGGAAACAUCUGAAGAGAACUGCAAGGUCAAAUCUCACCACGUUUACAAGUAUCUUCUCUACAACAGCAUCACAUCAUUUACAUUGCUUAUCUCACUUCUACUAAAAAGCAUGUCUAUUUUCAUUUCUUUCCGCAUAAUGGUUUCUCACUUCUCUUUUGGUAUGUCUCUUUUGUUCAUGCUACAGUAA